rnacentral:rRNA from 1 species
UACGGAGGGUGCGAGCGUUGUUCGGAAUCACUGGGCGUAAAGCGCGUGUAGGCGGCCUUUUAAGUCCGAUGUGAAAGCCCGGGGCUCACCCCCGGAAGUGCAUUGGAUACUGAUUGGCUGGAGUACCGGAGAGGAGGGUGGAAUUCCUGGUGUAGCGGUGAAAUGUGUAGAGAUCGGGAGGAACACCGGUGGCGAAGGCGGGUCUCUGGGCAAUUCCUGACGCUGAGGCGCGAAAGCGUGGGGAGCAAACGGG